GGGCUAGCAGUAGCUCAGUCGGUAGAGCAAGGCACUAACACUGCAGGGUUAGGGGUCCUAAUCCCUGUGUAGCUCA